rnacentral:rRNA from 1 species
AUUGAACGCUGGCGGCAUGCCUUACACAUGCAAGUCGAACGGCAGCAUGAUCUAGCUUGCUAGAUUGAUGGCGAGUGGCGAACGGGUGAGUAAUACAUCGGAACGUGCCCUGUAGUGGGGGAUAACUAGUCGAAAGAUUAGCUAAUACCGCAUACGACCUGAGGGUGAAAGUGGGGGACCGCAAGGCCUCAUGCUAUAGGAUCGGCCGAUGUCUGAUUAGCUAGUUGGUGAGGUAAAGGCUCACCAAGGCGACGAUCAGUAGCUGGUCUGAGAGGACGAUCAGCCACACUGGGACUGAGACACGGCCCAGACUCCUACGGGAGGCAGCAGUGGGGAAUUUUGGACAAUGGGCGAAAGCCUGAUCCAGCAAUGCCGCGUGUGUGAAGAAGGCCUUCGGGUUGUAAAGCACUUUUGUCCGGAAAGAAAUGGCUCUGGUUAAUACCUGGGGUCGAUGACGGUACCGGAAGAAUAAGGACCGGCUAACUACGUG